rnacentral:lncRNA from 1 species
GCUAGAGUUACCUGUAGAUCUUCGUUAUUUGUAACAAACUGCACAACACGGAACCAAAUGUCAUCACUGACGAAAUCACCAGCCUUGUCAAUCAAUUGAAGGAUGACAUCAACAUACAUGCAUGUCAUCACUGACGAAAUCACCAGCCUUGUCAAUCAAUUGAAGGAUGACAUCAACAUACCUGCAUGGCAAACCACGAGGGACACUCUUAGCUGUUAUCACAUUGUAGAUCCGUAAAGCAAGAUUAGACAGUUUCAGCCACAUUCAUCUAAUUCUGAGUGCUUGAUAGCUACUAAAAGCGCCAGAUUUGGAGUUAAUAUGCAUAAAAGAGAGUAACACAAUCUUUGUAUGAUAUAUUUCUCAUGAUGGUCCCUUUUAUAACACCUGACUGAAUAAAUCCCCUGAACCAGAGUUGGAGUUAAUAUGCACAAAGAGAGCAAGACAAUAUUUGUAUGAUAUAUUUCUCAUGAUGGUCCCUUUUAUAACAAUUGACUGAACAAAUUCUCUGAAAAGGCUUCAACAACCAAACCGAAGAACUUUGAGAAGACAACAUAUUUGAAUUUCAACUUCAAAAGCAGGAGAAACAAUAUUUCAAUAUAUCCUUGAUUCGCAGUGUAGUCAGAAUAUGUAUGCGACAUGUUUUUUCCGGACAAGGAACAUGUAUGCAAUGUUUUUAAACUCCAAAUUCCAUAAGGCAAGCAUAUAUUGCUAAACAGCUCAAGGAAAGUGAAGUUUCAUUAUGUCCAUAUCUAUUUCAUACCAUGACAAAUCAGGAGCAAAUUUCUCUGCAAGAAUUGCAAUUUUGAGUGACAGUUCUUCACGCAUCACAAACUCAGCUGUAUUAAGAUACUGACAAACAAAACAGAUCAGUUGCGUAUUUUUUUACCUCGCCCAAUCAAAACUUUUCCUCUACAUAUUAUAUAAAUUAAAUAACCAUGAAAAGAAAAAUUCAGAAAGUAACAAUGCAGAAUCCUG